rnacentral:rRNA from 1 species
AGUGAACGCUGGCGGUAGGCCUAACACAUGCAAGUCGAACGGCAGCACAGUAAGAGCUUGCUCUUACGGGUGGCGAGUGGCGGACGGGUGAGGAAUACAUCGGAAUCUACUUUUUCGUGGGGGAUAACGUAGGGAAACUUACGCUAAUACCGCAUACGACCUACGGGUGAAAGCAGGGGAUCUUCGGACCUUGCGCGAUUGAAUGAGCCGAUGUCGGAUUAGCUAGUUGGCGGGGUAAAGGCCCACCAAGGCGACGAUCCGUAGCUGGUCUGAGAGGAUGAUCAGCCACACUGGAACUGGGACACGGUCCAGACUCCUACGGGAGGCGGCAGUGGGGAAUAUUGGACAAUGGGCGCAAGCCUGAUCCAGCCAUACCGCGUGGGUGAAGAAGGCCUUCGGGUUGUAAAGCCCUUUUGUUGGGAAAGAAAAGCAGCAGGUUAAUACCCCGCUGUUCUGACGGUACCCAAAGAAUAAGCACCGGCUAACUUCGUG